rnacentral:sRNA from 1 species
GCUGGACAUGGUGGCACAUGCCUGUAAUCCCAGCAACUUGGAGGCUGAGGCAGGAGGACUGCAAGUUCAAAGCCAGCCUCAGCAAAAGCAAGGUGCUAAGCAACUCAGUGAGAUCUUGUCUCUA